rnacentral:rRNA from 1 species
AUGCAUGGUAUGGCCAGUCCGAUCAGUGUACGCACCAGCCCGAGGCACCCUCUGUCCGUCCCUCGGUCAUCUUUAGUUCGAUCCACCCACGCUUCACAUUUGGUGAUAAGAGUUGCAGAUCCAUUAUUCCCUUGUGCUAAACUCUCGAAAGCGCGCGCUGUCGUGGCAGCAGUGAUGGAGGUCUCCAAGGCCCCUUCCUCAUCUGGUUUGGCAAACCGCCAGCCAUCCAAAGAGGUUCUUGAGACAUGGCGCAGUGUCAAUGCGGUGUGCUUCGAUGUGGAUAGCACCGUAUGCUUGGAUGAGGGUAUUGACGAGCUUGCUGAUUUCUGUGGGGCUGGGCAGGCAGUUGCCGAGUGGACGACAAAAGCUAUGACAGGGACUGUUCCAUUUGAAGAGGCUCUUGCUGCCCGGAUCUCUUUAAUCAAGCCAUCUCUGUCCCAAGUUGAGGACUGUUUGGAGAAGAGGCCACCCAGGAUUUCUCCUGGAAUCGCUGAUUUGAUUAAGACAUUAAAAGCUAAUAAUACUGAAGUAUUCCUUGUGUCAGGAGGUUUCCGGCAAAUGAUCAAGCCUGUGGCAUUUGAUCUUGGCAUUCCUACUGAAAACAUCAUAGCAAACCAACUGCUAUUUGGAUCAUCUGGAGAGUAUGCUGGAUUUGAUCCCACAGAGCCCACUUCUCGAAGUGGGGGUAAAGCAGUAGCAGUGCAACAAAUAAGACAGGAUCAUGGUUACAAUACACUGGUUAUGAUUGGAGAUGGUGCCACUGAUCUUGAGGCUCGGCAACCUGGUGGAGCAGACUUGUUCAUCUGUUACGCCGGUGUCCAGAUGAGAGAAGCAGUUGCAGCCAAAGCUGACUGGACCGUCUUUGAAUUUGAAGAGCUAAUUUCUGAAUUGUCAUAA